rnacentral:lncRNA from 1 species
AAGUAUGGCUCAUAGAUGUCUUGUGCUAGCAUUCAAGCUAGUCGACGCAACUCAUUCAUGUGGAGGGAGAUUUGUGCUCAUGCUCCGAAAGUGAUGGCUGAUGUUCGAUGGUUGAUUGGGGAUGGGUAGAUUGCUGAUUUCUAUGAGACUUAUGGAUUGCUGACCUCCCAUUAUAUCGCUAGCCGACCUUCAUCAGUAUGGAGGCUGGAGUUUCUAUGGAUCUGUGACCUAUUCCACAU